CCUACGGGGGGCAGCAGUGAGGAAUAUUGGUCAAUGGACGAGAGUCUGAACCAGCCAAGUAGCGUGAAGGAUGACUGCCCUAUGGGUUGUAAACUUCUUUUAUAUGGGAAUAAAGUGUUCCACGUGUGGUAAUUUGUAUGUACCAUAUGAAGAAGGAGCGGCUAACUACGUGCCAGCAGGCGCGGUAAUACGGAGGAUACGAGCGUGUUCCGGAUUUUUUGGGUUUAAAGGGAGCGUAGGUGGAUUGUUAAGUCCGUUGUGAAAGUUUGCGGCUCAACCGUAAAGUUGCAGUUGAAACUGGCAGUCUUGAGUACAGUAGAGGUGAGCGGAAUUCGUGGUGUAGCGGUGAAAUGCUUAGAUAUCACGAAGAACUCCGGUUGCGAAGGCGGUUCACUGGACUGCAACUGACAGUGAGGCUCGAAAGUGUGGGUAUCAAACAGGAUUAGAUACCCGAGUAGUC
rnacentral:rRNA from 1 species